AUUGAACGCUGGCGGCAGGCCUAACACAUGCAAGUCGAGCGAGCGGCGGAGGGGUGAGUAUUGUAUGGGGACUGCCCGCUAGAGGGGGAUAACUCCUGGAAACGGUGGCUCAUAUCGCGCACUCUCGGCUUACCCAUAUGGGAUUAGCUCUUAGGUAGGGUAAUGGCUAACCUAGGCGACGCUCCCUAGCUGUUCUGAGAGGAUGAUCAGCCACACUGGGACUGAGACACGGCCCAGACUCCUACGGAGGCAGCAGUGGGGAAUAUUGCACAAUGGGCGCAAGCCUGAUGCAGCCAUGCCGCGUGUAUGAAGAAGGCCCUAGGGUUGUAAAGUACUUUCAGUCGGGAGGCGUUACCGACAGAAGAAGCACCGGCUAACUCCGUGCCAGCAGCCGCGGUAAUAC
rnacentral:rRNA from 1 species